rnacentral:tRNA from 1 species
GCUUCUAUAGCUCAGUUGGGAGAGCGCAGCACUGAAGUCUUGAAUUACCUGGGGUGACAUGCUGAGGUCACCCGUUCAAUCCGGGUUGGAAGCA